rnacentral:lncRNA from 1 species
GGAAAAAAUGCCUGGAAGGAGACAUGCUGAUGGGCCAGUAGUUCCUUCUGGGGAGUGAAGCAGACUGGGGAGAGCAGCAGGAAGAGGAGAGGAGUGAUUUAAUUUUGCUAACACUGACUGAGCUUCUGCUUACUGAUGUUAACAUCUGGGCAGCCAAAGUCGUCGCCCACCACACAGAGGAAGGAGGAGAAACACCAGGCCAUCUGAGAACCCAUCCACAUGCAUAUACUGAUGAAUCAAAGCGUACUGCGUAAAAAGAGGCUUCCAAGAUUAAUCAAGGUUUAUUUUUUAGGUCCUGAAUCUCUCAGGAUGUCUGAUAAAAAGCUGGGCCCUUUCUCCAAAAAAAAAUACACUUACAAAGAGCUUGCACGCCAUUUCCAAAGGCCCUCUGAACCCCAUCUAUGGGGCCUUUUGAGUCACA